AGAGUUUGAUCGUGGCUCAGAGCGAACGCUGGCGGCAGGCUUAACACAUGCAAGUCGAACGGGCUUCUUCGGAAGUCAGUGGCAGACGGGUGAGUAACACGUGGGAACGUGCCCUUCGGUUCGGAAUAACUCAGGGAAACUUGAGCUAAUACCGGAUACGCCCUUUUGGGGAAAGGUUGACUGCCGAAGGAUCGGCCCGCGUCUGAUUAGCUUGUUGGUGGGGUAACGGCCUACCAAGGCGACGAUCAGUAGCUGGUCUGAGAGGAUGAUCAGCCACACUGGGACUGAGACACGGCCCAGACUCCUACGGGAGGCAGCAGUGGGGAAUAUUGGACAAUGGGCGCAAGCCUGAUCCAGCCAUGCCGCGUGAGUGAUGAAGGCCUUAGGGUUGUAAAGCUCUUUUGUCCGGGACGAUAAUGACGGUACCGAAGAA
rnacentral:rRNA from 1 species